AAAACGGCUCUUUUCAGAGCCACCAAUUAAUAUUAAGAGGAGUUUU
rfam:Aedes aegypti strain Liverpool supercont1.1819 genomic scaffold, whole genome shotgun sequence.